UGGGGAAUAUUGCACAAUGGAGGGAACUCUGAUGCAGCGACGCCGCGUGAACGAAGAAGGCUUUCGAGUCGUAAAGUUCUUUUAUAUGGGAAGAUAAUGACGGUACCAUAAGAAAAAGCCCCGGCUAACUACGUGCCAGCAGCCGCGGUAAUACGUAGGGGGCAAGCGUUGUCCGGAAUUAUUGGGCGUAAAGCGCGCGCAGGCGGCUUCCUAAGUCCAUCUUAAAAGUGCGGGGCUUAACCCCGUGAUGGGAUGGAAACUGGGAAGCUAGAGUAUCGGAGAGGAAAGUGGAAUUCCUAGUGUAGCGGUGAAAUGCGUAGAGAUUAGGAAGAACACCGGUGGCGAAGGCGACUUUCUGGACGAAAACUGACGCUGAGGCGCGAAAGCGUGGGGAGCAAACAGG
rnacentral:rRNA from 1 species